UCGGGAAUAUUGCGCAAUGGAGGAAACUCUGACGCAGUGACGCCGCGUGCAGGAAGAAGGUUUUCGGAUUGUAAACUGCUUUAGACAGGGAAGAAAAAAGACAGUACCUGUAGAAUAAGCUCCGGCUAACUACGUGCCAGCAGCCGCGGUAAUACGUAGGGAGCAAGUGUUAUCCGGAUUUAUUGGGUGUAAAGGGUGCGUAGACGGGAACGCAAGUUGGUUGUGAAAUCCCUCGGCUUAACUGAGGAACUGCAACCAAAACUACAUUUCUUGAGUGCUGGAGAGGAAAGUGGAAUUCCUAGUGUAGCGGUGAAAUGCGUAGAUAUUAGGAGGAACACCAGUGGCGAAGGCGACUUUCUGGACAGUAACUGACGUUGAGGCACGAAAGUGUGGGGAGCAAA
rnacentral:rRNA from 1 species